GAUGAACGCUGGCGGCGUGCCCAAUACAUGCAAGUCGAGCGAACCACUUCGGUGGUGAGCGGCGAACGGGUGAGUAACACGUAGGUGAUCUGCCCAUCAGACGGGGACAACGAUUGGAAACGAUCGCUAAUACCGGAUAGGACGAAAGUUUAGAGGUGCUUCUGGCACCGCUGAUGGAUGAGCCUGCGGCGCAUUAGCUAGUUGGUAGGGUAAAGGCCUACCAAGGCGACGAUGCGUAGCCGACCUGAGAGGGUGAACGGCCACACUGGGACUGAGACACGGCCCAGACUCCUACGGGAGGCAGCAGUAGGGAAUCUUCGGCAGUGGGCGAAAGCCUGACCGAGCAACGCCGCGUGAAUGAUGAAGGCCUUCGGGUUGUAAAAUUUUGUUAUAAGGGAAGAACGACUUUAGUAGGAAAUGGCUAGAGUGUGACGGUACCUUAUGAGAAAGCCACGGCUAACUACGUGCCAGCAGCCGCGGUAAAAC
rnacentral:rRNA from 1 species